AUCUGUAGCCUUUCAGAAGGUGAGCAGGUUAGUACUUGGUUGAGAAACCACUUGGGAAUUCCAGGUGCUAUAGGGC
rnacentral:rRNA from 1 species